GACGAACGCUGGCGGCGUGCUUAACACAUGCAAGUCGAACGGUAAGGCCCUUCGGGGUACACGAGUGGCGAACGGGUGAGUAACACGUGGGUGAUCUGCCCUGCACUUCGGGAUAAGCCUGGGAAACUGGGUCUAAUACCGGACAGGACCACUGCCUGCAUGGGCGGUGGUGGAAAGCUUUUGUGGUGUGGGAUGGGCCCGCGGCCUAUCAGCUUGUUGGUGGGGUGAUGGCCUACCAAGGCGACGACGGGUAGCCGGCCUGAGAGGGUGACCGGCCACACUGGGACUGAGAUACGGCCCAGACUCCUACGGGAGGCAGCAGUGGGGAAUAUUGCACAAUGGGCGCAAGCCUGAUGCAGCGACGCCGCGUGAGGGAUGACGGCCUUCGGGUUGUAAACCUCUUUCAGCACCGACGAAGCGCAAGUGACGGUAGGUGCAGAAGAAGGACCGGCCAACUACGUGCCAGCCGCCGCUGUAA
rnacentral:rRNA from 1 species